CGGACGGGUGUGUAAUGCCUAGGAAUCUGCCUGGUAGUGGGGGACAACGUUUCGAAAGGAACGCUAAUACCGCAUACGUCCUACGAGAGAAAGCAGGGGACCUUCGGGCCUUGCGCUAUCAGAUGAGCCUAGGUCGGAUUAGCUAGUUGGUGAGGUAAUGGCUCACCAAGGCGACGAUCCGUAACUGGUCUGAGAGGAUGAUCAGUCACACUGGAACUGAGACACGGUCCAGACUCCUACGGGAGGCAGCAGUC
rnacentral:rRNA from 1 species